rnacentral:rRNA from 2 species
CCUUCGGACUGGCCCAGGGAGGUCGGCAACGACCACCCAGGGCCGGAAAGUUGGUCAAACCCGGUCAUUUAGAGGAAGUAAAAGUCGUAACAAGGUCUCCGUAGGUGAACCUGCGGAGGGAUCAUU